UCUAAUGUGGCAGAAACAUGCCAUGAAGUUAAGAUUCAUAUAUAAAGAAAAAUCUUUCAUUAGAA
rnacentral:tRNA from 1 species